GGCGACCGGCGCGACGGUGAGUAACGCGUAUCCAACCUCCCCGUAGCGAGGGGAUAGCCCGGCGAAAGUCGGAUUAAUACCCUAUGUUCUCCUUUGAUGGCAUCUGACGAGGAGCAAAGGUUUUCCGCUAUGGGAUGGGGAUGCGUCUGAUUAGGUUGUUGGCGGGGUAACGGCCCACCAAGCCAUCGAUCAGUAGGGGUUCUGAGAGGAAGGUCCCCCCACACUGGUACUGAGACACGGACCAGACUCCUACGGGAGGCAGCAGUGAGGAAUAUUGGUCAAUGGGCGUAAGCCUGAACCAGCCAAGUAGCGUGCAGGAUGAACCUGCCCUAUGGGUUGUAAACUGCUUUUAUGCGGGGAUAAAGUGCGGCACGCGUGCCGCUUUGCAGGUACCGCAUGAAUAAGGACCGGCUAAUUCCGUGCCAGCAGCAGC
rnacentral:rRNA from 1 species